CACUCUACAAACCCUACAUCUUCUUUCUAUCAUACAACCAGCUGCCCAACACCCUUUUUCUUUUCUUUCAGGACCAUUUUAGAAGGCUCUUUGUUGCCAUUCACGGUGGGCAAGAGCUGCCUGACGGAGUUUACCGUCGUCGUUUGUGCUAAACAUGGGUUGUGUUCGCUUAGGGCGGGGCUGGGCAUGGGAUGUUGCCGUUCAUGGAGGACGAAGUUAGGCUCGGAGGUGGCUGGAAAUAGAAUUGGGCUCGCGGAUUGCAUUAUCUCUGUUCGUGGAAGAGGGGGCUAGGCUCAUUGAGGUGAGGGUUAGGCUUGUGGAGGUGGCUAAAAACGGUGUUCACAGAGAUCAUGAAGGAUUGAUAAUAUGCUUUGAGACAAUUUCUUAUUGAGACUGACAGAGGCUAAAACUCUACUUGGAUAUUUAAGAGAACCAAUACAAUUAUAUAAGAGAAUCAAGGCAACAAGAAAUUCUUCUUCAAGUUGUUGGGUAUUAUUUUCUUUUUUGCUUGUAAGAAUUAUGUACUGUGAGGAUUUGAUGUAUUAUUUACAUUGAGAAUAAUGAAUUUUUAUUGAGAAUUAUAAUAAAUUUUUAUUGAGAAUUAUUUAGUCU